UACGAAGGGUGCAAACGUUGCUCGGAAUUAUUGGGCGUAAAGGGCGCGUAGGCGGCCAUCUAAGUCAGACGUGAAAUCCCCCGGCUUAACCUGGGAACUGCGUCUGAUACUGGACGGCUUGUAGUUGGAGAGGGAUGCAGAAUUCCAGGUGUAGCGGUGAAAUGCGUAGAUAUCUGGAGGAAUACCGGUGGCGAAGGCGGCAUCCUGGACCAACACUGACGCUGAUGCGCGAAAGCUAGGGGAGCAAACGGG
rnacentral:rRNA from 1 species